UAAGUUAUUAUUUGAAAGUCUAGAAAGGGCAUUGUAGCUACGGAAGCCUAAGAGGUUUAGCAACAUGAGCGUGAGAAGGGAAUAUGUCCUUCUGAACCAAUUCACGCUAAAUGUUUUCCGAUAUCAGAAACAAUGAAAAGACACACUUUGCCAGGAUCCAUUCAGAAGCAUUUCAAACUAGAGUAAAAAACUUGAUAUCAGCUACAGAUGAACCUGACACACUAUACAAGAAAAUAGAAGUGCUGGCAAAAAAAAAAAAAACUGUUCAGUUACAAAUACUUUGCUGUCCUUGCUGCCAAAGAACUUGGGAUUAAUGUGGAAAAAGUGGCGUUACCUGAUCCAGUUGGCAACAUAGCGUUCUCAUAGGCACUGCUGUUGUGUGGGGUUUACCAAAAGCUGUCCUGCAGAGAAACAAAAAUCUUGCAGAAUGCUUUGGAUAGGAAAUGAGGGAUAAUUACCUCUUCACAGCAAGAACCUGACAGCCUCUUUUUACGUCAAAUCCAUGGCACUUCAGUGCCAGACCGGUACAUGGCAUGACUCAUACACCCCUACAAUAAGUGCACUGUGAAAGUUUAAUGUCUGGAUACCUUUUAUAGAGCACUAGAAAGAGUUUGUUCACUGUUAGUGCUGUGAAAUCAUUAGGACUUCAAGCAAUACUGCUGUGUAAAAAGGUGAAGGCUUUUGGAGAGUUAUUAUGGUUUCAUAGAAGGUUUGCAAUUUGUAAAUGUUCUUACUUUGUCUUUGAAAUCAUUUUAUGUUAAAAUACUUUUUUUGCCUGAAAUAUUCAGAGCUGGAAAUGGGCUUUUCCAGGUUUUUGAAAAAAAAUGAAAAAAUUGGAUUGAUUUCCUCAAGUGCACUAGUAAUCUGAUCUGGGGUAUUUCAUCUUUAAAAAUUACUUUUAGCAUGAUGUAGCCAGUGAUAUUCUGGGACAAUAUGCAUUUGGUCUUAAGUUUAUUCUGGGCUUUGCAUUAUUUAGCUCUUUGUUAAGCAACACUUUAUCUUGAAACUUUAACCACUAUUUAAUUGCUUGGGUCCAGUGUAUGCUAGCAUUGUAAGACUCUGCUGCGGCUUGAACCAGUACCUUCUGCUUGUUGGCUGUGCACCUUAACCACUGGGCCGGUAAAACAGCUAGCAUGUGCUCAUCUCCCUUACACCUAUUUCCCUGGCUGUGUUGUAUUACUGCAGCAGCCUUAUUGGUUGGGUGGGUCAGCCAAUCAGGGCUGGCUCUGCCCUAUAUUAGCCCAGUUUUUCCUCACAGCUAGGGUCAGAGCAUUGGCCUGUGUACUUAAGCACUGCAUGACCCUAACUCUUCUGUUCCUUGCUCUGGCUGAUGUUCCUGCUCUAGUCCUGCAUCCUGACCUGUUCUUUUUCCUACUCCUGGUUGACUCUUGUUCCUACUCUAGUUCUGUUCAUGUUUCCUGCAUUUAGUUCUGUUCCAUUCCGGUCCUUUUCCCUUUCUCUUCACUCGCACCUUCCUUUCCUGCUAAACCUAUUCCUGAUUUUUUGUCUGCUCCACUCUGUUCAGUCACAGAUUAUUAUUUACAGGAAACCAGAAGUACAAUUUUAAAGAUGGUGGCAACAAAGGAUAAGCAGAACAACAAAGCUGACGUGUAUUAAGUUAGUAUUAUUAAGGGGUGUUGUACUAGCAUUUGAGGAGGAUGAAAACCUUCCCCUCUCCUUCAAAAUAUGAUGGUAAUUUAAGGUGAUAAGAGUGAUCUCUAUAUGUGCAUAUAAUUUACCAUGCUUCUUUUGCUGUGCACUUUUACUUUUCUGUUGUAGGCAUGUGGGCCAAAGCCUACAACUACUCCUUUCUAGCAGGCAAAUACUUCAUCAGGAGAUAAAAAAAAACAAACGGCAGUUAAACGUAUACGGUUUACACAUUUACAAGGUUUCAGUAAAAAUUCUCUAAAAUUCAAUAAAAAUGUAAUAUGUAAAAAAAAAAAAACAACAAAAUAGGCAGUUGAUGAUGCGAGUGGGUUGUAUAGUUCUUUGUAAUGGAAACUCCUUUUUUUAAUGCAAGAUUUGUUUUUUCCCAAACAACUUUGUACUAGACAACUAAGUUACUAUAGAGUAACAGAGUAAAAAAUCACUGGUUGCUGAAGAAUGGUAUUUAUGCAUAUUAAAGUUUUAAAAUAUGACUAUAAUGUUAGGAAAGGUGGGCAAGCUUUGGGUUACAAGUGGGCAGCUAUUGUACAAAUUACAUCAACAUUCCUUUUAGCACUUCUCCUCCUCCCUUUCCCUUCUUAGCUCAAUUUCUUUAGCUUCUAGCUCUCCAUUAUAAUGCAGUGGUGAGUCUUUCAUUCAAACCUAUUUAUAGCAAACAUUCCAUUGCAUUAGCGAUUGACAAAAUGAGAAAAACAAGGGGGAGUGAUUUUCAGGCAUAUUUUCAUAAGGUGACGAGAACAAGGCUAUAGCAAAGGCAGCAAAGGAGGUCAUUAAAAAAAGAUGUCUGUGUUACCAUCUAAGUAGGAGGAAAGCCACUGGUAUAUUGGUGCUGUGAAACACUAGUCUGACUCUAGUUCUAUGGUAAAUUUCUAGAGAGCUGAGAAGGUAGUGCUCUGUGGACUGCUAUAAUGGAAAAAAAAAUAAAAAAGGUCACAUCCAAUUGUUGCAUAUAUUUUUAUACAGAAUCACAAACAAGUCUAUGCAUGUAGCUGUAUAACUGAAUAUACAUACAGGCGGUGCUCCUGUUGCUUAUAGAAAGACUGCAAUAGAAGAGCUCCAAUAAGAUAUUAUCCAAAUAGAGCUUCUUAUUAAGAUCUCAGCAAAUGGUAUAUCACCACAUACAACCAAUUUUAGUUUUACUGUAUAUUUAAUGUGGAGACGUCAUGUUUUGUUUAUACAUGCUGAAUAUGCAUGCAUAGUUUAUAUAUAUAACUUUUUUUUUUUUUUUUUUUUCAAAUUACCAGUAUUCACUAGUGAUUUGUUUGCUUGCUGACAACUGUUUGGAGAAUCUGUGCAUGGUUCAUUGAGUGCUGAAUCUGUGCAAGAGAACAUUACUCUCAGGGGCAGCAAAAUUGGAUUUAAGCAGACGUUUAUCUUUACUCUGCAGUUUGGGAAUUCCAAACAAGGAAAUAAAAAUCAACAAUAGGAAGAACUUAUGUUUCUCAUUCUGUCAAACAGCAUGGUCAGACUGAUAGCAUACAGUGUAGUACUUAGAAAACCAUUUUCAGUCCUCUAACAGAGUAGUAAAAUGGAGAAUCGACUAAUGUAAAAUCGUCUGGGAAACAGGAUUUGAUGUUCUCUUUUGCACUGGUUACUAUAAUAAAAUUUGUGUAUGG